rnacentral:snoRNA from 1 species
UGAUGACACUCUCUGGAAUUGUUACACUACCAUAAUUAAAGUGCACUGAAUCUUUUUCUCUCUGAUGGCAGGGGAGGGAAUAAAAUAAUU